rnacentral:misc_RNA from 1 species
GAUGAAGAACUCAGCGAAAUGCGACAACUAAUGUGAAUUGCAGAAUUCAGUGAAUCAUCGAGUCUUUGAACGCACAUUGCGCCCCCUGGUAUUCCGGGGGGCAUGCCUGUCCGAGCGUCAUUGCUGCCCUCAAGCACGGCUUGUGUGUUGGGCUCCGUCCCCCCGGGGACGGGCCCGAAAGGCAGCGGCGGCACCGAGUCCGGUCCUCGAGCGUAUGGGGCUUUGUCACCCGCUCUGUAGGCCCGGCCGGCGCCAGCCGACAACCCAUCAUCCUUUUCAGGUUGACCUCGGAUCAGGUAGGGAUACCCGCUGAACUUAAGCAUAUCAAUAAGCGGAGGA